rnacentral:tRNA from 1 species
UGCGGAUUAAUGUAAUGGUAGCAUAUUUGGCUCAUGACCAAAAAUUUAGGUUCGAUCCUAAGUCCGCAA